rnacentral:rRNA from 1 species
GACGAACGCUGGCGGCGUGCUUAACACAUGCAAGUCGAACGGAAAGGCCCCCACUUUUUUGGUGGGGGUGCUCGAGUGGCGAACGGGUGAGUAACACGUGGGUGAUCUGCCCUGUACUUCGGGAUAAGCUUGGGAAACUGGGUCUAAUACCGGAUAGGACCAUGGUUUAGUGUCUCAUGGUGGAAAAAUUAUUGUUUUGGUGCAGGAUGAGCUCGCGGCCUAUCAGCUUGUUGGUGGGGUAAUGGCCUACCAAGGCGUCGACGGGUAGCCGGCCUGAGAGGGUGGACGGCCACAUUGGGACUGAGAUACGGCCCAGACUCCUACGGGAGGCAGCAGUGGGGAAUAUUGCACAAUGGGCGCAAGCCUGAUGCAGCGACGCCGCGUGGGGGAUGACGGCCUUCGGGUUGUAAACUCCUUUCGUUAGGGACGAAGCCGCACCUUUUUUGGGUGUGGUGACGGUACCUUUGUUAAGAAGCACUGGCUAACUACGUG